rnacentral:lncRNA from 10 species
GGAGACGGAAAGCAGUGAACCUCUGUAAAAGCUUAGAGUCUCCUAAGCAAGGGCAGGGCACACACCGGGACAGAACAGCAAAUCGAUGACUUUAGUCGCUAAACUAAAGCUUCAUUCUCCUUAAGAAUGACUCUCCUCCAUCGCCACCCCUCACCCCACUUGAGGACUUAUCUGGAAUUUCAAAUGUUUGUUCCUGCAAAUGCAUCUUCCAUCCUGGGUGACAGGAAGUGUCUGGUUCCAUGACGAUGAAGCAGCCACAAGGCCUCUCUGUGUCAGUGCUGGAGAGAGAGAGCUUCCUUCCUCCUGUCCUGGACCCCUCCUGGAGGGACGCUCCCAAGGCUGAGAUGACACAGUCAUUUCCCGCAUGCUGUCUAGCACUGACCCACCCAUCGCCCUUGUCCUGGUGCUGGUCUGCAGCAGCAGUGAGGGGGACCCCUUUGUGUGAGGGCUGCACUGGCCAUCGUUCAGGAAAAGGCAAUAGAGCCUCUGCAGUCUUUGAACGCCCUCGGUGCCUCCAGCGCAUUGGCCUUAGGACAACACUCCUUACGGGGGGUCUCUGAAGUCUGCCCGGAAGACACUCUUCCAGCCCACCGGGUCCUGCAGCCAAAGUGCAUGGUGUCCCCUGGCCCUGGAACAAGUCUCUGUGUGACCCUGAGGGUCCCUGUAGAAACAGCCACAUGGCCCCUCCUUCAUGGAGCCCAGCGUUCCUUGUUGAUUUUCGGCUUUCUUACCUGGCCUCCGCUGUCCAUCCUUGAGGUGGGCUGGUGCUCUAGGGACUUCCUGCAAUGACGGGUUUGUGUUGGGUACAGAAAGAAGCUAUUGUAGAACCGUCCGACGAUGGAGCCUUCAGGGACGCGGUGGCCCCGGAGCACAUGGUGACAUGCUGGAGAAGCUGGGCAGUGCCCAGGAGUUGGCACGUGGGGACUCGGUUCGCUGAGUUCGCUGAAAGCAAAUCCGUGUUUUGCAUGAGCGGCCUGUGUGUCUGCUGGCUCUAAACCUGCCUUGUUUUGUCCAGCUGUGGCUGGGAUCUGUGACUCCUUGGAAGGCAUUUCACCUCACUCAGAGUCACAAAAUUCAAGCAAUGACAAGAACAGUGCCUGGAGUAGAAUACCAUUUAAAUUUUAUUUAUAUUCAUUUAUUCACUGUCAAAUAUCCUUUUUAUUUAACCAAAUUUCAAACUGUUAGAAACAGUGGAGGUUAUGGAACCCAGAGUCAGGCAGAUCCUCAGAGUUUGUCUUUAUUUGCAGCUGUGAGCACAGAACUCACGUAUGUUCAUCUCAGAAAGAUCACAGAAGCACAGGUGCUUAGAAGAGCUGACACCAAGCAUGUGGAAGGAAUUUAACUUCUUCAUGUAUUGGUACAACUGAAACAAAUUAUGCCUAAGCUGGGGAGACCUGCACCAGCUACUGGAUUGGUUGAGGAAGAUGAGAUAAUAUGAUACCCUAUUUAAUAGGAAGAUUAUUUUACAUAUAAUUUUCCACAUAUAAUUUAGGGAAAAUAGUAAUUUAUUAAAGGACUCUCAGGGACUUGUAGUUGAGAAAAUGUUAACUAUUUGGGUUAAGGGACAUGUUCACUAACUCUGAGAUUUAUAGCAUAGUUGUGAGUGGCUGACAUUUACUAUCUACUAUUUAUUUUUAACGAGUAUAUAUGAUUAAUAAUUAGUAUUUACAAAGUACUUCCACAAAAAUCUUCUUCUGGUGCCCAUGACAAUCCUGUGAGGUAGAUAUUGUGGGUAUUUUAUAUCUACACUAUAUUUUAAAGCUAAAAGAACCAAAGCCGAAAUGAAUAGUUGGCUUGCUCAGGGCACCCACCCAGCCAGCACGUGGAGGUGUCUGAAAUUAACCUCAGGCUUCUUAUUUCCAAAACCAAUCUGUUGCCCAAGGUCCCAGCUCACAACUAGAGCAGAAGCCUCUUUGAACAGAUCACAGCUUAUGUAUGUAUUCACGUGUAAUCUCCACAGUAGCUACGCUAGGUCAUUGCAUGUACAUGAAGGUACGUGAAGGAAUGGAUGGAAUUAUCUUACAUUAGGGAAGAUGCUAACCUCCCAGCUGAAUUUUGGCGUUAGCAUGACACUUAGCAUCUUUCUUGGCUGUUAAAAUAAAGCAUAACAGGGUGGCAGGAGAGGAUGAUAUACCACCACUAAAUACAGUUGGAUCCCAAAGGUGUGUACUUGGCCUCUCUGUUUCUAUUGGUUCAUUGCCUUUUUCUUAUUCAAAAACAUAUUUAAAAUUUUGAAGUAUUUAAAACAAAAAACAAAUGCAAGUACCACAUACCCAUUCCUCAUGCCCUCGCCAAAUGGAUCUGGGGCAAGUUAGAAUGCUGCUCCAUUUCCUUCAAAUAGUUAAUUUUCAAACAAUAAGUAAUGUGUAAAAACUGUAUCUAAAGCCUCUCCCUCCAUCACAGAGUUAGCCACAGCUCUGAAGUCAGGACGGAUGUCUGCUAAGUUUGCCUAUAUUUACCUAUUUUUUCCUAUACUUAUAGGUACAUGCGUGUACCUGAAACACCGCCAAGCAUCCUUUUACAUUUUCAUGCUUUGAAUAAAUGUCAUCAUUUUUCCAA